UGUUAUUAUAAAGGCUUGGAUUUACUCUCCUCUCAUUAGAUUGUGUUGUCUCUUCGAUCCAACAAGGAGGAGGAGGAGGAGUAGAAGGUUGAUCAGGAGGAGGAGGAGGAGGUGGAGCUGGACAGAAAAGGAGUUGGAGGGAAUGCCCUGGUGACAGUUCUCCCACUUUGUUUUUCCUCCUCGAAACGGACCAAGGCCAUGAUGUUCAAUCUCCUCCAUCGACCGGUGUCAUCAAAAGGGCUGCCAAUAUCCUGUCCUUCUUAAUUCGUAAGGCGAGGCACAACCCUGGCCUGCCAACGGCGCCGAUGGAGAUGGGGAUACCGAGCCCCCAAAGCCCGUCAGACCUCCCUCUUCUUAGUGAUCCCAAUUCCCAUAAUUGCCCGGGUCUGCUUGACGAGCCAUCUAGCGCAGCUGCGCUGAACGGGCCAAUUCAAUCACUGUUCUGAAUGAUGGAGAUCCAAAUGACCGGGCUCCACCCAUGGAGUGAAGAGGCAGUGCAUCCUUGCGGUCAAUCACAUGGAUUGUAUUGACCGGCAGGAGUCAAGUAGAGAACAAAAGUGGUUGAUUUGAUGAUGGGAGCCGCCCAAGUGGCACUCAUUUCAAUAAUAUCAUUCCCUGCGCCUCUCAAAGGUUAAGAGUCUAAUUGUAAACCCUG
rnacentral:lncRNA from 1 species